GAUGAACGCUGGCGGCGUGCCUAAUACAUGCAAGUCGAGCGAAGCGGGGACGGGUGAGUAACACGUGGCUACCCUCCUAUAGGACUGGGAUAACUUCGGGAAACCGGAGAUCAACCGGAUACUUAUAGAUGGAUGCGCGCUGCAGUAGCUAGUUGGUACGGUAACGGCUUACCAAGGCGACGAUGCAUAGCUGACCUGAGAGGGUGAUCAGCCACACUGGAACUGAGAAACGGUCCAGACUCCUACGGGAGGCAGCAGUGGGGAAUAUUCCGCAAUGGGCGAAAGCCUGACGCAGCAACGCCGCGUGUGUGAAGAAGGUCUUCGGAUUGUAAAGCACUGUAAGUAGGGAAGCGUUACCUACUGAGAAAGCAACGGCUAACUUCGUGACAGCCGCCGCGGUAAUAC
rnacentral:rRNA from 1 species